AAGGCGUAGUCUCCCGGCAGUAAUUGG
rnacentral:sRNA from 1 species